rnacentral:rRNA from 1 species
UAUACCUACGGGAGGCAGCAGUGAGGAAUAUUGGUCAAUGGGCGCGAGCCUGAACCAGCCAAGUCGCGUGAAGGAUGACGGCCCUACGGGUUGUAAACCUCUUUUGUCGGGGAGCAAAUUCCGUUACGUGUAACGGAGUCGAGAGUACCCGAAGAAAAAGCAUCGGCUAACUCCGUGCCAGCAGCCGCGGUAAUACGGAGGAUGCGAGCGUUAUCCGGAUUUAUUGGGUUUAAAGGGUGCGUAGGCGGUUUGUCAAGUCAGCGGUAAAAAUUCUGGGCUCAACCCGGUCCCGCCGUUGAAACUGG